ACACACACACGCACGCACGCACGCACGCACGCACGCACGCACGCACGCACGCACGCACACACACACACACACACACACACACACACACACACACACACACACACACACACACACACACACACACACACACACAUUCGUACGCACUGAAACAACUUCCGUACCUCACGAAAACAUAUUUAAACAGAUGGAAAAAACUAUCGCAGAACACAGUGUCACGUAGCAACUGGUCUUUACGGUCGUUUGAAUCAACAGGUCAGUUUGGGGGACAAAAGGAGGGUUCAGUUUUUACUGACUUCCCAUCUGACAGUUUAAAUGUUUAUGACCGUUUGAAUCAACAGGACACGCACGCACACACACACACACGCACGCACACACACACACACACACACAUACACACACACACGCACACACACACACACACACACACACACACACACCAUUACCUCUGCUUUACCAUGUUAUUAGACAUUGGUUUAACUCCAUUUAAGCAUUUAAACGUUAAAAGCAUUGCACUUGUACGACGUUGUAAUACUUUUUUUUUACCAGCCGAUGACGACGAAGUGAAAGACGAUGAACUUUGCUUAAACAGUCUUACAAAGUUGGAAGAUGAUUAUCGAGGUGUGUUUAAACCUUCGAAUUAUUUAAUAUUGUGUGUAUUCAUUAUUUUGUUUUAUAGAGGAUUUGCCGUAAGAUCCUAACGCGAUCGUUUUAACACAAUCGCAGUCUGGUGAGUCAAAUGAUUCUCAUUUUACAAGAAAAAAAACAUGCGGUAUACGAUACAUAUAUACAUAUAUUUACUUACAUCUCCGGCUCGCUGGUCUCCCUUAAAGCUGGCGGGUCCGUCAACGGCCGUUCCAGGCAGAGGAGAAGGCUUGAUUGUGCCAAAGACUCCAGACAUCGAAUCCUUGCUCCGAGGGGAAAUCAUCGAAAACGACGGUGAAUGUCCGACAGGCACCCGCUAUUGGUAACACUGGACAAGUCGGAUAUCCUUGCUUGGAUCCUUUUAAAGUUGCCCGAUAAACUGCUGAGAGUUGAUCUCUCCUCUUGUCCAAAGGUUUUUCGUUCAUUUUUACUUGUAAUACUGGCACUAGGGUUGAUGUAGUAGCUCCACAACAUAACCUUAAAGCCUGUGACUGGAUCCGGUCUAUUUUCCCAAGUCAUGUUUUUGAAGCAGAUUGGUAAAUAAUGCAUCCGUAAUCAAUAACAGAUGGAAUUAAAGUUAUAAA